AACAAGUAUGAAGUUUCAAGGCACCGAACUCUACAUGGAAAACUAGCUCCACACUAUGCAGCUGUAGAGCAGGAUGGCACAGGCCUGAUGAUAGCUUCUGGCAAACCUUUCAAGUUUGUCCAGAUUGAUGGAAAAUCUGUAGAGGAGCAGAAAGUGGAGAAAAUGGAUACCAACCAGAGAAAAGCUUGGAGAUCAUUUUAUUCAAGAAUAAUAAAGGAGUGACAUGGCCACAACUCCUCAUUGGUGACAGAAGAGGUGAAUUCAUCACGGAUCCUGAUCAGGCUUCUCAGAUAAAUGAGUGUUUGCUCAACCUAGUCUCUGAAGAGUUGAAUGCAGAUCCUGAAAAGGACAAGCCACCAUGCAAUGCCAGCGAGUUAGAGGAGUGUGAUCGCUUCCCUGAUGAUACUGCCAGCUUAACUCGAUUUGAUGCCAACACAUUGAAAGCUACCCACGUGGU